GGAGAGGCCAAGGUUAGUCAGAGCCAUCGAUGGAGGGGAAGAAGCUUGCUGAGCACUCUGUGCACACGACAUCCCAAACCCCCUGCUGACAUGACUUUGGCAUUCUGAACCAGCAAAAAACGAUGCCUUGGAGUACCAGAGGGAAGGCCAUCCUCCAGUAAGUGUCAUGCACAGUGGGGUCUGGAUUCAGGCAGAAACAACAGCCCAGAGGAUUAUUGCUGCCCACACAGGACGUUUUCCAGGCAGGGCAGUGCUUCCACGUGAGUGCAAUCAGCAGCACUCCAGCAAGUCAAAACCCAGGAAACUCAAACAGCGGAGGAUGAGGACGGAUGGGCUGCCUGACACCUAAUUGCUGUGAGGCAAGAAAAACAGCAGGACUGGGAGGACAGAAGAUGCAAGGUGAUGCUGAAGUCAUGUUCUGCUGCUGGCCAUAAGAGUGAUUCACUGAACGGUGUGUCCCCUGUCAGAGCGAAGGAACAAUAAGCAGGAACAUUUGGUAUUCCAGUCCAUGAGAAGACCCAAGCCAACUGUCCUGCUCUGCUCACUCAGCUGCUGCUUAAAACAACUACAGACAGUUCUAGGAAGAAAGGAAAAGGAAUAUAACUUGACUAAAAUGAACUUUUAUUUCCACUGCUGUGAUAAAGGGGGAAGGGGAUGCUGACUUUUGUCGUUUUGCCUGUAAUUGUUAUUGCAGACAUGACUAUGUUACAGGUACCUCAGUCUCCACAAUCAAAAAGAAGAAACUCCCAGCUAUUUAUGACAGGAUUGGUGGAAAUCUGAACUUUGCAGGAAUUCCACCAAAGAGAGAAGAUGUGAAUGGUAACUGUGACGAGGCUGGGG